GGAAUGAGCCGCCUGGCCGCCCCACCCCAGGUCUCCUGUGAGGAUGUGACAGCCUGGCUUUUCUACCUGUGGCUGCCCAGCCUCCCGCUGGCUCACGGCUCUCAGAGACGGGUUCCUGACGUCCUCAUUCCUGGACAGUCGGUGGAGUCAGCCCCAUCCCCCCGGGAGGACAACUGCCCAGAAGAUCUGCCUGCUCUCUCCCCAGCCCAGCACCUAGCCCCGCAGUGUCCACGGAUAUCAGUGUUUACGGGACCCCCCUGCUGCUCCCCCUGCGAUUUCCAGGAAGGUCUCGGCCCCCACCCGCCACGUCCCCAUCCCUCUUCCCGCUGGAUUUGUUCACUGCUCAGCAACUACAAUGGUGCCUGGCAGGAGGCGUGAUGAACAUUUGCUAGACGAGUGGAGCUGCCACAAACCGGGAAACGCACCCCCGCUUCUGCACGAUGCUCCUCGGAGCGGCCGACUGUGCACUGGACCCCUGGAACCGUGAGCCUCGUACUCCUUGUACCCUUUGGGUCGUGGCUGUUGUCCCGUGAUAGGACGAGCUGCUGGCGGGAGGGAGGAGCUCGCAGCACACGGUGGCUGGGCUGCUUCCAGAAGGGCCCACUCGCAUAGCCAGGGCCGCGGCUGACCACAGGUCCCUGAAGGUGCAGAAAGAGAAGACCGCAGCGCUUGUCACCUGGGCGUGGAGCUCCCUGCAGCGCCCCUGCACCCGGGCCCCUCUGCCUGGGUCAGGAGGUCCGAAUUCUUUGGCUGCUGUGGACCCUUCUUGAUGGAUGGUUAUUGAUAAACGCCUGAAGUGGCCGCAGGAUUGCAGAGGAAGCCAGGUGUCCACCAGGGCUCUCCAACGAUCGCGAAGACAGACUCCUGCCCCCGUGUGAUGCAGCAGCCCAGGAAAGGUUGUGGGAGAGCCGCAGAGUUCG